ACCAGCCUGAGUCCUUCCAGACUGCAGAGAUGGCUCCAAAGAGCUUGGGCCAGGGUGAGAAAGGAGAGGCUCCACUCUGGAUGACCACUGUGAGCAGGUGGAUCCAUGCGCUCUGUGUGUCCCUUCAUGUACUGGAAGAUGCCGGAAGAUGGCUACGGAGCAAGAGAAUUUUGGUGGAACAAGCACCAAAAAGAGAAAAAGUGAAG
rnacentral:lncRNA from 1 species